rnacentral:rRNA from 2 species
GUGCAAUGGCAUAAGCCAGCUUGACUGCGAGCGUGACGGCGCGAGCAGGUGCGAAAGCAGGUCAUAGUGAUCCGGUGGUUCUGAAUGGAAGGGCCAUCGCUCAACGGAUAAAAGGUACUCCGGGGAUAACAGGCUGAUACCGCCCAAGAGUUCAUAUCGACGGCGGUGUUUGGCACCUCGAUGUCGGCUCAUCACAUCCUGGGGCUGAAGUAGGUCCCAAGGGUAUGGCUGUUCGCCAUUUAAAGUGGUACGCGAGCUGGGUUUAGAACGUCGUGAGACAGUUCGGUCCCUAUCUGCCGUGGGCGCUGGAGAACUGAGGGGGGCUGCUCCUAGUACGAGAGGACCGGAGUGGACGCAUCACUGGUGUUCGGGUUGUCAUGCCAAUGGCACUGCCCGGUAGCUAAAUGCGGAAGAGAUAAGUGCUGAAAGCAUCUAAGCACGAAACUUGCCCCGAGAUGAGUUCUCCCUGAGACUUAG